AAGGCGAGGCCGAAAGCGUAGUCGAUGGGAAACGGGUUAAUAUUCCCGUACUUCUUACAAUUGCGAUGGGGGGGGACGGAGAAGGCUAGGUGGGCCUGGCGACGGUUGUCCAGGUUCAAGUGUGUAGGCUGAAGAGUUAGGUAAAUCCGGCUCUUCUUAAGGCUGAGACACGACGUCGAGCUACUACGGUAGUGAAGUCAUUGAUGCCAUGCUUCCAGGAAAAGCCUCUAAGCUUCAGAUUGUAAGGAAUCGUACCCCAAACCGACACAGGUGGUCGGGUAGAGAAUACCAAGGCGCUUGAGAGAACUCGGGUGAAGGAACUAGGCAAAAUGGUACCGUAACUUCGGGAGAAGGUACGCUCUCGACGGUGAAGUCCCUUGCGGAUGGAGCUAUUGAGAGUCGCAGAUACCAGGUGGCUGCAACUGUUUAUUAAAAACACAGCACUGUGCAAAAUCGUAAGAUGACGUAUACGGUGUGACGCCUGCCCGGUGCCGGAAGGUUAAUUGAUGGGGUUAGACUUCGGUCGAAGCUCUUGAUCGAAGCCCCGGUAAACGGCGGCCGUAACUAUAACGGUCCUAAGGUAGCGAAAUUCCUUGUCGGGUAAGUUCCGACCUGCACGAAUGGCGUAAUGAUGGCCACGCUGUCUCCACCCGAGACUCAGUGAAAUUGAAAUCGCUGUGAAGAUGCAGUGUACCCGCGGCUAGACGGAAAGACCCCGUGAACCUUUACUACAGCUUGGCACUGAACAUUGACCCUACAUGUGUAGGAUAGGUGGGAGGCUUUGAAACCAGCACGCCAGUGUUGGUGGAGCCGUCCUUGAAAUACCACCCUUGUAGUGUUGAUGUUCUAACGUCGACCCCUUAUCGGGGUUACGGACAGUGCCUGGUGGGUAGUUUGACUGGGGCGGUCUCCUCCCAAAGCGUAACGGAGGAGCACGAAGGUGGGCUAAUCACGGUUGGACAUCGUGAGGUUAGUGCAAUGGCAUAAGCCGCUUGACUGCGAGAAUGACAAUUCGAGCAGGUGCGAAAGCAGGUCAUAGUGAUCCGGUGGUUCUGAAUGGAAGGGCCAUCGCUCAACGGAUAAAAGGUACUCCGGGGAUAACAGGCUGAUACCGCCCAAGAGUUCAUAUCGACGGCGGUGUUUGGCACCUCGAUGUCGGCUCAUCACAUCCUGGGGCUGAAGUCGGUCCCAAGGGUAUGGCUGUUCGCCAUUUAAAGUGGUACGCGAGCUGGGUUUAGAACGUCGUGAGACAGUUCGGUCCCUAUCUGCCGUGGGCGUUGGAAGAUUGAAGGGGGCUGCUCCUAGUACGAGAGGACCGGAGUGGACGAACCUCUGGUGUUCGGGUUGUGUCGCCAGACGCAUUGCCCGGUAGCUAAGUUCGGAAUCGAUAACCGCUGAAAGCAUCUAAGCGGGAAGCGAGCCUGA
rnacentral:rRNA from 1 species